rnacentral:rRNA from 1 species
UACUGCCAGACUUGGAACCGGGAGAGGUAAGAGGUACGUACAGGGGUAGGAGUCGAAAUCUUGUAAUCCCUGUGGGACCACCUGUGGCGAAGGCGUCUUACCAGAACGGGUUCGACGGUGAGGGACGAAAGCUGGGGGCACGAACCGGAUUAGAUACCCGGGUAGUCCCAGCCGUAAACGAUGCUCGCUAGGUGUCAGGCAUGGCGCGACCGUGUCUGGUGCCGCAGGGAAGCCGUGAAGCGAGCCACCUGGGAAGUACGGCCGCAAGGCUGAAACUUAAAGGAAUUGGCGGGGGAGCACAACAACGGGUGGAGCCCUGCGGUUUAAUUGGACUCAACGCCGGACAACUCACCGGAGGCGACAGCAAUAUGUAGGCCAAGCCGAAGACUUUGCCUGAAUCGCUGAGUGGUGGUGCAUGG